GAGAAUAAAUUACCUGGAAAAAAAUCCUAGUAAUUUUAUACGGACGAAUAAACUGAAAAAUAUGAAGAAGCAAAUUGUGUUAGUGGAAUUUUGUGGAAACAAAUAAAUCGAAAAUACGAGCGAGCAAGCUGUUUCGGAAAAUAUUUAGAAAACUUUAUACAAAUAAAUAGGUGGAAAAUAUAGAUGAAGUUCCGAGUAUGUUUUGAGAAUAAAUGUACAAGAAUAUAUCAAGUUCUACAUUUCACUUCCAUAGUGUCAAAUUUUUGUAACUAUAUGAAAAUAUCACUAAAUGGUUCAUGGUGCAUCUGCCCUUUGAGGCGUGCUACCCUUGAAACAACAGGUCGAUCGUUAUCGUUGAUGCCACUUUCGCCACAAUUCAGAUGAAUGAAGAGUGCCGAGCAUAAUCACGCGUUAUUGAGGCGAAUGGUUUCCGGAAACGACCGUGAUUCGUUUACGAUUCAGGGGAUUAUUUUUUUAUCAGAUUUAUUAGAUUGCUUCUUUAAAAGAAAUUUUAAUAUGACAAGAAGUUUUUCUUUUUUAAAAAGAGAAGUAUAAUAUUAGAAGCAUAAAAUUCACAUCAUAAAACUUUUCGUAUGAAAGAUAAUUUGUUUAUCAACAA
rnacentral:misc_RNA from 1 species